UACGUAGGGGGCAAGCGUUGUCCGGAUUUAUUGGGCGUAAAGAGCGUGUAGGCGGCCGCACAGGUCCGUUGUGAAAACUGGAGGCUUAACCUUCAGACGUCGAUGGAAACCGUGCGGCUAGAGUCCGGAAGAGGAGAGUGGAAUUCCUGGUGUAGCGGUGAAAUGCGCAGAUAUCAGGAAGAACACCCGUGGCGAAGGCGGCUCUCUGGGACGGUACUGACGCUGAGACGCGAAAGCGUGGGGAGCGAACGGG
rnacentral:rRNA from 1 species